rnacentral:rRNA from 1 species
UACGUAGGGUGCGAGCGUUAAUCGGAAUUACUGGGCGUAAAGUGUGCGCAGGCGGCAGAGCAAGUCGAGUGUGAAAGCCCCGGGCUUAACUUGGGAAUUGCGCUCGAAACUACUUUGCUGGAGUGUGGCAGAGGAAGGUGGAAUUCCACGUGUAGCGGUGAAAUGCGUAGAGAUGUGGAGGAACACCAAUGGCGAAGGCAGCCUUCUGG